AUGCGGUGGCCGGAGUUGUCGUCUCUGGGCAUUGUGGCUGAUGUUGUUGAGGUUUGGCGCAGGGACGUUUAUGGAUUCGCGGUGCGGCCGCAGCAUCUGCAGCGUUUCCGCGAGUAUGCCAAGAUUUACAAGGAAGAGGAAGAUGAGAGAACACAUCGAUGGAAGGACUUCUUGGACAGAUUGGCUGAUUCUGCGGAUUUGCCCAGCACACCCAGCAUUCAUGCCGCUGCUGCGGGGGAUGCUGAAAGUGCAGAAAAGAGCGUCAAAGAAGAGCACCAUGAAGCCGAAAACACAGAUACCGACACAAAUUUGGAAUAUUUGAAGGAAGCUGACGGCAAUGAGGAACUCGGAGAAGUAAACGGCGAGCCAGACGAUAUUAAGGGUGUCACUAGCAACUUGGAAAAACCAAAAGAGGACAGCAGUAGCAGGGGAGCAGAUUGCGAUGAAGACGACGAAGAAGAAGGUGAAGCAGAAGAGAGGAACAUCAAAAUAGAAUGCGUAGAUCAAGUUGAUGACAAUGAUGAAUCCAUAGAAGCAAAAGGCAAGCCAGAGGAUUUUGACGAUGUCGCUGGCAACUCAGAAAAACUGAAAGAGGAGACCAGUGCAGACUAUGUAACACCGAACAAAGCCUCGGAAGAAUUCAAGGAAAUAAAUGAGGGCUCUGAAGAAAUAAAAGUUAUAAAUGGGGGCUCGGAAGGAUUUAAAGAUCAAAAUGGUGGGUCGAAGGAACUGGGAGAAGUGAAUAAUGACAACUUCAAAAGGUUUGAGGAGACCCCCUUCGAUAAGGGGUUGUUGGAUGAAUUGGAGCCCAUAAAAGUCGAGUCCUGGCGGCGGGUGAGGGCAUCACUCAGCAUCAUUGAGAAAAUGAUGAGCUCUCGGGUCGUGAAAAGAAAUGAUACUGCAAAUGCCAUAUCUGGAGAGGUUGCGACACAGCUUGCGUCAAUUGAAGAAGACAGGGCAGUAGAAGAAACUCAUGAAGGGAAUUCAGCAGAGGAGUCAUAUGAUGCAGAGAAGGUGGAUCGGUCACAGGACGGGGCACCUGGUGAUUCAACGAGUGUUACAUUGGAGGGAGACAAUGGAGGGUCUUAUUUUCCUUGGAGGGAGGAACUGGAGAGCUUGGUUCGUGGAGGUGUGCCAAUCGCUCUUAGAGGAGAGAUGUGGCAAGCAUUUGUGGGUGUUGGUGCUCGGAAAAUCACUGGGUAUUACAACAAAUUGCUAGAUGAAAGGACAGAUGUAUUGGAUGAAAAGGACCUUAAGGACCAAGUGGUGAAUGAACAGAAAAGUUCACCAAAAAAGGAUCCCAAGCCUGAGAAGUGGAAAGGACAGAUAGAGAAGGAUUUGCCUCGAACAUUUCCAGGACACCCUGCAUUAGAUGAGGACGGGAGAAAUGCCUUGAGGCGGUUAUUAACAGCAUACGCAAGGCAUAAUCCAUCUGUCGGAUACUGCCAGGCCAUGAACUUUUUUGCCGGGCUAUUUUUAUUGUUCAUGCCUGAAGAGAAUGCAUUCUGGGCUCUGGUGGGGGUCAUUGACGAGUACUUUGAGGGUUACUACACUGAGGAAAUGAUUGAAUCACAGGUUGACCAACUUGUUCUUGAGGACGUUGUACGAGAAAGGUUCCCAAAAUUGGCCAAACAUACGGAUAUCUUGGGAGUUCAGGUGACAUGGGUGACUGGACCAUGGUUUCUUUCAAUUUUCAUCAACAUGCUUCCAUGGGAAAGUGUUCUUCGUGUUUGGGAUGUGAUCCUCUUUGAAGGAAAUCGUACAAUGUUGUUCCGGACAACCCUUGCUUUGCUGGACUUAUAUGGGCCUGCCUUGGUGACCACAAAGGAUGCUGGAGAUGCAAUUACGUUACUGCAGUCUCUUGCUGGCUCUACCUUUGACAGCAGCCAACUUGUAUUGACAGCUUGUAUGGGUUUUCAGUCAGUCAAAGAAAUGGGAUUGCGAGAGCUAAGAGAAAAGCACAGGCCUGAGAUUAUAGCGGCUAUGGAGGAAAGAUCAAAAGACCGUAAAUCCUGGAAAGAUAAGAAGGGGUUAGCAACUAAAUUAUAUAGCUUUAAACAUGACCCCUCAUCUGUGUGUCCACAAGUUGAUUCCAAGGAAGGGGCAGAUGGUUUGCAAGUGAAUGGGGACUCUGGGUCAACAACCCUGGGGAGCUACCUUACUGGUUCAGCAUUAGAAAAUGAGUUGGAUGAGGGCAUUGAUCUUCAAGAUCAGGUAAAAUGGCUAAAGGUUGAGCUGUGCAAACUGCUUGAGGAGAAAAGAUCAGCUGAACUCAGGGCCGAGGAGUUAGAAACUGCUUUAAUGGAGAUGGUCACGCAGGACAAUAGACGUACGCUGAGUGCUAUGGUUGAGAAAUUGGAGGCAGAGGUAUCUGAAUUCCGAGAAACUUUCGAAGAUAAGCAAGAACAAGAAAAGGCAAUGCUUGAGAUUUUGUUAAGAAUGGAGCAGGAGCAGAAAGUGACAGAAGAUGCACGCAUAGCUGCUGAGCGAGAUGCUGCUGAACAAAAAUACGCUGCUCAUUUGAUCCAGGAGAAGUAUGAAGCAGUCUUGAUAGCGCUUUCACAAAUGGAGAAGAGAGCUGUGAUGGCAGAAACUAUGUUGGAAGCUACAAAGCAGUACCAGGCUGGGCAGGUUAAAGCCAUCCAAACGUUCGCCCCAAAGUCACCGCAUGCAGACCUUGGGAAGAUAAAUCAAGAACCAAAUCAAGAUACACCUAACAAGAAAGUGGGCUUACUUUCUAGGGGGCUUGGAUGGCUAGAGAAGAGCAAGGGAAAGUCGAAUCCCACUGAAACGAAUGAAGGCUAA
rnacentral:rRNA from 1 species